rnacentral:tRNA from 1 species
GGGUUGAUUCUAUCAACGGAAGAGAAUGCGAACGAAUGUUUGUUUCCUCGGACUCAUAAUCCGUUGGUCGCUGGUUCAAGCCCAGCACGGCCUACCA